UACGUAGGGACCGAGCGUUGUCCGGAUUCAUUGGGCGUAAAGAGCUCGGUAGGCGGCCACUCAAGUCGAAUGUGAAACCUCGAGGCUUAACCUCGAGCCUGCAUUCGAUACUGGGCGGCUAGAGUCUGGUAGGGGGAUCUGGAAUUCCUGGUGUAGCGGUGAAAUGCGUAGAUAUCUGGAGGAACACCAAUGGCGAAGGCAGCUCGCUGGAACGGUACUGACGCUGAGGCGCGAAAGCGUGGGGAGCGAACAGG
rnacentral:rRNA from 1 species